rnacentral:lncRNA from 1 species
UUAUAUUAUGGAGGAAGCGUUCUGGUGGCUAUGCCACAAAUAUCUGAUCUGGUGGCUCUGCCACAAAUAUCUGAUCUGGUGGCUCUGCCACAUAUAUCUGUUCUGGUGGCCCUGCCACGACUAUCUUUAUCUGGUGACUCUGUCACAUUAUCUGUUUUGGCAGCCAUGCUGCAAAUUCUAUGGUGUGUAGCGGUUGAGUGGGUCGAGUUGUCUCCCUACACGGUGUAAGGUUGGUACGGAGGUGUAUACGGUUGGAUAUGGUUGGGUUUCUGCAUAAACAUGUAAUAUCUGUUCUGUUCUGUUAUGGGCCUAUGGGCUUUAUUUUGAAUUCUGUUCUGGGCUAAG